ACAAUUUAUCGAAAAUAUGAAAAACGAAGGGAUAUAAUUAAAAAGCAGAUAAUCAAGCUUUACAAUGAUUGGAGCAAUCUAAAUUCAAAUAAAAACAGGCAUUCCCGAACCGAAGAAAUUAAGAGAGAGAAGUUUGUUCGUGCUCUGAAUCUUCCGUUGGAAUAUCUGGCGAGUCUAUCGAAUAAAAAUAAGUCGAUGAAACUUCUAAAUGUGAACAAUAAUACUAGCGGCAAUAAUGCCAAAACUUCCCCCAGGGUUCUUACGCCCAAACUCACUAAUGCAUUGGAUAGAGUAGGUUUAUCGAAUCGCAACGCCAGUAUGAUUUUGGAUGCACUGGUUGAGGACCAACAGAUCGAGUCACCUAAAGCACCGAGCCACUGUUCGAUUAGAAAAGCACGCAUUAGAAAUCGGAAAGCUGCAGGAAUUAAAGAAACAUUCCAACCGCAUGUACCGUUAACGGUACAUUGGGAUGGCAAGAUACUCCCAAAUUAUCUAGGAAAGAAAGAGGACCGUCUUCCAAUUCUAGUUACUGGUUUGGGGGUAUCGAAACUUCUUGCUGUUCCAUCACUACCAAAUGGUACUGCCACGAUUGAAGCAAAA